rnacentral:rRNA from 1 species
UACGGAGGGUGCAAGCGUUGUCCGGAUUUAUUGGGUUUAAAGGGUGCGUAGGCGGUCUUUUAAGUCAGUGGUGAAAUCCUCCAGCUCAACUGGAGAACUGCCAUUGAUACUGGAAGACUUGAGUAUAGUUGAGGUAGGCGGAAUUGACAGUGUAGCGGUGAAAUGCAUGGAUAUUGUCAAGAACCCCGAUUGCGAAGGCAGCUUACUAAACUAUAACUGACGCUGAGGCACGAAAGUGUGGGGAUCAAACAGG